rnacentral:lncRNA from 1 species
CACCAUCUGUGUACUCAUGGAAUGCCUCAUCCAUUUGUAUGGCAUUUGCACAGCCUGGUGUGUGACCAAAUAACUCAUUUCACAGCAAAGGAAGAGAAGCAGAGGGCUCAGGUUCACAAAAUUCACUGGCCUUAUCAUACACCCCAUUCCUGGUACCAAUUUUAAAACAUUUCAUCCUCAUCACCACCCGCUUCCACCGCUGAGCUAACAUAAUCCAUGCCUCGCACUUUCAUUAAUAGCUUUAUUUCUUCCUAGGUCCCCAGCAACUUUACAGAGCAAGGAAAGACAGAGGAAUUGGGGCCUUCUCCAUGCAGGUCGCCCUUUUCAACUAUUUUCCUGUCUGCCCCGCUGACGCGUCCGCCGCCGGAACACCCCGCUGGCUGCGAGAACCUCCUCUCUCUGACUUCCCGCCUUCCUGCUGCGAUCCCGGUUCCGCCCCUCUCCAGCACCCUCGGCCGCUAGCGCCUAAGCUCUCCGCGGCCACCAGGGGGCGCCCGCGGCCAAGUCUGGGCGCGGGAGACGCCAAGCGCCC